rnacentral:rRNA from 1 species
CAGUCGCCGCGGGAAUACGGAGGGGGCUAGCGUUGUUCGGAAUUACUGGGCGUAAAGCGCACGUAGGCGGCUUGGUAAGUUAGAGGUGAAAGCCCGGAGCUCAACUCCGGAAUUGCCUUUAAGACUGCCGAGCUAGUAGGUGAGAGAGGUAAGUGGAAUUCCGAGUGUAGAGGUGAAAUUCGUAGAUAUUCGGAAGAACAUCAGUGGCGAAGGCGGCCAUCUGGGACAACACUGACGCUGAGGCACGAAAGCGUGGGGAGCAAACAGGAUUAGAUACCCCGGUAGUCCCUGUCUCUUAUAC